rnacentral:tRNA from 1 species
GCGUGUAUAGCUCAGUUGGUAGAGCGUACCCCUGAUAAGGGUGAGGUCGGAGGUUCAAACCCUUCUAUACGCACCA